rnacentral:rRNA from 1 species
AUUGAACGCUUGCGGCAGGCCUAACACAUGCAAGUCGAGCGGAGCGGCGGACGGGUGAGUAAUGCCUAGGAAUCUGCCUGGUAGUGGGGGAUAACGUCCGGAAACGGGCGCUAAUACCGCAUACUAUCAGAUUAGCCUAGGUCGGAUUAGCGAGUUGGUGGGGUAAACACCUACCAAGGCGACGAUCCGUAACUGGUCUGAGAGGAUGAUCAGUCACACUAGACCUGAGCCCCGGUCCAGACUCCUAGGGGUGACCGCAGUGGGGAAUAAUGGCAAAUGGGGGAAAGCCUGAUACAGCCAUGCCGCGUGUGUGAAGAAGGUCUGCUGAUUGUAAAGCACUAUAAGUUGGGAGGCGUACCCAACAGAAUAAGCACCGGAUGACUUGGUGCCAGCAGCCGAGGUAAUAC